rnacentral:rRNA from 1 species
AAUAGAUACCCAGGUAGUCCACGCCGUAAAUGAUGAGUGCUAAGUGUUGGGGGGUUUCCGCCCCUCAGUGCUGCAGCUAACGCAUUAAGCACUCCGCCUGGGGGAGUACGGUCGCAAGACUGAAACUCAAAGGAAUUGACGGGGGCCCGCACAAGCGGUGGAGCAUGUGGUUUAAUUCGAAGCAACGCGAAGAACCUUACCAGGUCUUGACAUCCCGGUGACCACUAUGGAGACAUAGUUUCCCCUUCGGGGGCAACGGUGACAGGUGGUGCAUGGUUGUCGUCAGCUCGUGUCGUGAGAUGUUGGGUUAAGUCCCGCAACGAGCGCAACCCUUAUUCUUAGUUGCCAUCAUUCAGUUGGGCACUCUAAGGAGACUGCCGGUGAUAAACCGGAGGAAGGUGGGGAUGACGUCAAAUCAUCAUGCCCCUUAUGACCUGGGCUACACACGUGCUACAAUGGACGGUACAAACGGUUGCCAACCCGCGAGGGGGAGCUAAUCCGAUAAAACCGUUCUCAGUUCGGAUUGUAGGCUGCAACUCGCCUAC